AGCGAACGCUGGCGGCAGGCUUAACACAUGCAAGUCGAGCGGGCAUCUUCGGAUGUCAGCGGCAGACGGGUGAGUAACACGUGGGAACGUACCCUUCGGUUCGGAACAACUCUGGGAAACUGGAGCUAAUACCGGAUUCGCCCUUAUGGGGAAAGGUUUACUGCCGAAGGAUCGGCCCGCGUCUGAUUAGCUAGUUGGUGGGGUAACGGCCUACCAAGGCGACGAUCAGUAGCUGGUCUGAGAGGAUGAUCAGCCACACUGGGACUGAGACACGGCCCAGACUCCUACGGGAGGCAGCAGUGGGGAAUAUUGGACAAUGGGCGCAAGCCUGAUCCAGCCAUGCCGCGUGAGUGAUGAAGGCCUUAGGGUUGUAAAGCUCUUUUGUCCGGGACGAUAAUGACGGUACCGGAAGAAUAAGCCCCGGCUAACUUCGUG
rnacentral:rRNA from 1 species